AUGGCUCAAGCUAAUGGCAUUAAUAUCCCCGAUGACAAGUUCUACCUAAGAGAUGCUGGCUAUGCAUGUCGCCCUGGUGUUUUUUCACCCUUCAAGAAAACCAUGUACCAUCUGAACGAGUUCUCUUCUAGUUUCUAUCCUAGUGCUGCAUAGGAAUUGUACAAUCUCAUACACUUAAGCCUUAGAGUUACGGUUGAGAAGGAAUUUAAAGCUUUGAAUAGAUUUAAGAUCCUAAAUCAGAAGCCAUUCCACACUUUCCCCUCCCAGAUUAAGCUUGUCCUUGCAUGUUGUAUCCUCCAUAUCUGGACCCUAUAAUGGUUUUGUGAUGAGUUUGUGUUGAAGGAGAAAGAUGUGACGACUGAUGAUGUUGAUAGCUCCGGCCAUGAUAUGGUGGCAUUUGACAAUGACGCUGAAAAACACAAAAGGAUUGAGUGGGCUGAGGCAAUGUGGGCAAACGGAGACUAG
rnacentral:rRNA from 1 species